AUUGAACGCUGGCGGCAGGCCUAACACAUGCAAGUCGAGCGAGUGGCGGACGGGUGAGUAAUGUCUGGGAAACUGCCUGAUGGAGGGGGAUAACUACUGGAAACGGUAGCUAAUACCGCAUACCAUCGGAUGUGCCCAGGUGGGAUUAGCUAGUAGGUGGGGUACAGGCUCACCUAGGCGAAGAUCCCUAGCUGGUCUGAGAGGAUGACCAGCCACACUGGAAAGUAGACACGGUCCAGACUCCUACGAGAGGCAGCAGUGGGGAAUAGUGGGCAAUGGGCGCAAGCCUGAUCCAGCCAUACCGCGUGAGUGAAGAAGGCCUUCGGGUUGUAAAGCCCUUUUGUUGGGAAAGCGGUACCCAAAGAAUAAGCACCGGCUAACUCCGUGCCAGCAGCCGCGGUAAUAC
rnacentral:rRNA from 1 species